rnacentral:rRNA from 1 species
CCUAGGGGGGGCAGCAGUGGGGAAUAUUGGACAAUGGGCGAAAGCCUGAUCCAGCCAUGCCGCGUGUGUGAAGAAGGCCUUCGGGUUGUAAAGCACUUUCAGUGGGGAAGAAAGCCUUGGGGCUAAUACCCUCGAGGAAGGACAUCACCCACAGAAGAAGCACCGGCUAACUCCGUGCCAGCAGCCGCGGUAAUACGGAGGGUGCGAGCGUUAAUCGGAAUUACUGGGCGUAAAGCGCGCGUAGGCGGUCUGAUAAGCCGGUUGUGAAAGCCCCGGGCUCAACCUGGGAACGGCAUCCGGAACUGUCAGGCUAGAGUGCAGGAGAGGAAGGUAGAAUUCCCGGUGUAGCGGUGAAAUGCGUAGAGAUCGGGAGGAAUACCAGUGGCGAAGGCGGCCUUCUGGACUGACACUGACGCUGAGGUGCGAAAGCGUGGGUAGCAAACAGGAUUAGAUACCCGUGUAGUC